UACAGAGGUCCCGAGCGUUGUCCGGAAUCAUUGGGCGUAAAGCGCGUGUAGGCGGUUCGGUAAGUCUGCUGUGAAAGUCCAGGGCUCAACCCUGGGAUGCCGGUGGAUACUGUCGGACUAGAGUACGGAAGAGGCGAGUGGAAUUCCCGGUGUAGCGGUGAAAUGCGCAGAUAUCGGGAGGAACACCAAUUGCGAAGGCAGCUCGCUGGGACGUUACUGACGCUGAGACGCGAAAGCGUGGGGAGCAAACAGG
rnacentral:rRNA from 1 species